rnacentral:misc_RNA from 1 species
AAAAAUAUGCGAACAAUUCAACUAUGGUGGAUGCAAGCACAACGACAACAACUUCAAGACUGAGGAGGACUGUAAAGACAAAUGUAUCAGCAACUGAGAGCGCGGAUAUAAGGAAUUAAAGAUUUUGCCAUCUCUUGUAUUACAUUUUUUUUCAUUAUUGAAAUUUUGAAUUGUAGGGUAUCGCAAAUGUGAUCAAUUUCUGUUGUUUCUUAUUGCCGAGAAUCUAAGUCACAUGCCUUUUUUGAGGCAUAUUUUCCUUUUUAUCAAAUUUAUUAGUGUAGUGACGUAUUAGAACUUUUCAUCGCAAAUAAGUUUUCCCACACACACCUUCUUAUUAUUAGAGUAAUUGUUGAUAUGAAUUGUUGAUAUUAAUAAUUCUAAAUGCAUUUAAAUAAGUUCCACAUAAAUUUUCAAAGGAACUCGACAAGUAUUCCAUCGGUAUAUGCAAGAUACAUACAUUGUUGUUUUUGUUAAACUCAUCCUUCACUAAUAUAUAGAAGAGUGGUCAUCCGCGCAUGCGCACAGUAGAUAUCGUAUUUCCUUGGCUUUCCUACAGUUUUCUGUUUGCACUGAUUAGCAGACGACAAGAUGCGAUGUAUGGGUCAGCAUAAGGCCUCCACUGUGUGGACUUUAUUGUUAUUUCAAUGUUGUUGACAAUCUUGUUUUGUAACUUAUGAAAUAAACUUUCUGACAC